GAGUUUGAUCGUGGCUCAGGACGAACGCUGGCGGCGUGCCUAACACAUGCAAGUCGCACGGGGUAGCAAUACCCAGUGGCGAACGGGUGCGUAACACGUGAGGAACAUACCUAUCGGCGGGGGAUAGCCGGCCCAACGGCCGGGUAAUACCGCGUACGCUCUCCGGGAGGCAUCUCCUGGGGAGAAAGCAGCAAUGCACCGAUAGAGUGCCUCGCGGCCUAUCAGCUAGUUGGUGAGGUAACGGCUCACCAAGGCGACGACGGGUAGCUGGUCUGAGAGGAUGAUCAGCCACAUUGGGACUGAGACACGGCCCAGACUCCUACGGGAGGCAGCAGUGGGGAAUCUUGCGCAAAUGGGCGAAAGCCUGACGCAGCGACGCCGCGUGUGGGAUGAAGGCCUUCGGUCGUAA
rnacentral:rRNA from 1 species